rnacentral:rRNA from 1 species
GAUGAAUGCUGGCGGCGUGCCUAAUACAUGCAAGUCGAGCGAACAGACGAGGAGCUUGCUCCUCUGACGUUAGCGGCGGACGGGUGAGUAACACGUGGAUAACCUACCUAUAAGACUGGGAUAACUUCGGGAAACCGGAGCUAAUACCGGAUAAUAUAUUGAACCGCAUGGUUCAAUAGUGAAAGACGGUUUUGCUGUCACUUAUAGAUGGAUCCGCGCCGCAUUAGCUAGUUGGUAAGGUAACGGCUUACCAAGGCGACGAUGCGUAGCCGACCUGAGAGGGUGAUCGGCCACACUGGAACUGAGACACGGUCCAGACUCCUACGGGAGGCAGCAGUAGGGAAUCUUCCGCAAAGGGCGAAAGCCUGACGGAGCAACGCCGCGUGAGUGAUGAAGGUCUUCGGAUCGUAAAACUCUGUUAUUAGGGAAGAACAAAUGUGUAAGUAACUAUGCACGUCUUGACGGUACCUAAUCAGAAAGCCACGGCUAACUACGUG